AUCCCUUUUCAGUUCAUAAGCAUGAUAAUUUGGUCCUCAUGUGCUUGCAUGACAUGUGCUACCCUCAAACCUUGUUAUGAUGUAGGCACAUUACCUGUCUGAUG